ensembl:lncRNA
CGCAUUCCUCCCGCGCUCGUAAUGCAGCCGCGGUUCUGCGCUGUCAUCGGGAGCCGCGGGGACGCCAGCCCGCCCGCCGGGCCGGGAAGCACGGGUCCCCUCGAGCCUCCCCGACGGCCUCCCCGCCGUCUCCCAGCGCAAAUCUUAGUGACUCUCGGGUGACUCGCAAGCGAUCAAAACGAACGUCGGCGCAGCCGGGUCCCUGGGGGAGGGGGACACGCCAGGACGAGGACACGAGGCGGAAAGGCUGCUGUGGCUUUUUCGGGUCCCCCCCUCGCCCCAGCCUCCUCCUGCCUCGCUCAGAGCCCGACGGGCCGACUCCGCGUUGUAAACACAGGCCGUUAUAGAAACGUGGAACGAAAGCGGAUGAAAGACAGUACAAGGCAUCCGGCACGCCAAACGCAACUGGACAACAAUGAGCUUGCGUGUCUAGAUACCUUUGCAACCCGUGGCAAGGACCCUCACAGCCUCCCAGGGGUCCAUGAAGGAGAAGAGAGGCCCAGCAAGACGGGAGGCGGCUGACGGGAAGGGGAUCUGGAAAAAAGACCACUGCGGUCGAUCACAAAAGUGGACAGAAAUUCUCCCCCUGGUCCCACACUCUUUGCAGCUCCUCCCAUCCAGACAUGGGGUCUGCCACCCCACCUCUUGAACCCGGGCCGGCCUUCUGACUUGCCCUGGCCAGCGGAAGGUGGUGGAAGUGACGGUGUGUGUGUCUGAGCUACGCUUCCGCUGUGCCUGGCUGCCGUGUGAGGAAGCCCCGGGCCGGCCCAUUGGAAGGUGAGAGGCAUGUGCACGUCACCUCCAUUGUCCCGCUCACAGCCAGCCGCGCCCUCGGAGCAGAGCCACGGGGCUGACCGACGGCCGACCACUGACCCCUGGCCAGGACCAGACGCACCGGCUGCACCCAAACUCCGAGCACGAGGACGAUGUGUCUGUUCCAACGCACUGUGGCGCACAGCCUUCCCCAAAUCCGGCCGUGACAACGUCUCCCGGCCCCCGUGACCUUCCAGCAUGCGGUCUCGCUCCGCGCCUGGCGUCGAGGGGAGUCUGUGAGGACUCCAAUCAGGGCCGACUCCAGGCCACACGGCAAGAGGGGCUCUGGCGGGUACCCCGGCUCCGAGUCAUCCCGGCCCAGGUGCCCAGCACGGGUGUGACGAGCCUGCAGCCCCCGGGCUGGCCCCACCGAGACCCCAGACUUGGUGCAACAGAGACCCACUGUGUGACUCCCGCGCCCAAUUCUCGACCCACCAAACCCACGAGCGUCCCAUAAUCGCUCCUUGAAUCGGCGCCACUUGGGGGCAUCUUGUCAACCAGCAACAGCCUCUAAGUUUGGGGUCAUCGGUUACGCGGCCACAGCUGACGGACGCAGCGCCACCCCCGAGACAACGGGGCCCCCUCGGCCUCACACUCUGACUCGCCCCAGUGCCCCGACUCUCGCCUCCUCUCCGCACCCAGGAUUCCUGCCCAAACGCAGGCCGCGCCCCUUUCUCUUUCCCGCCACCCCCACCCCGCAGGCCACACCCAGCUUGCUCCCCGCUGACGCCCCC